CCAGCUUCACCUUUGGGGAAUAAAGUUCCCUGCAAACUAGGAUGGAUGAGGGCAGGUUGGUCGGGACGUGUUUGCGCUGCUUUCAUUAAACCUUCCUGCAGAGCUAUCGGGGAGAUCCCGGACAUGCCCGCUGCCUCGAGCGAGGUGGAGGUCGGGAA